rnacentral:rRNA from 1 species
UACAGAGGUCUCAAGCGUUGUUCGGAUUCAUUGGGCGUAAAGGGCGCGUAGGCGGCGGGGUAAGUCGGGUGUGAAAUCUCAGAGCUCAACUCUGAAAUGGCACUUGAUACUGCUCUGCUAGAGGACUGGAGAGGAGAUUGGAAUUCACGGUGUAGCAGUGAAAUGCGUAGAUAUCGUGAGGAAGACCGGUGGCGAAGGCGGAUCUCUGGACAGUUACUGACGCUGAGGCACGAAGGCCAGGGGAGCAAACGGG